AAUUUUGGACAAUGGGCGAAAGCCUGAUCCAGCAAUGCCGCGUGCAGGAUGAAGGCCUUCGGGUUGUAAACUGCUUUUGUACGGAACGAAAAGUCUCGGGAUAAUACCCUGGGACCAUGACGGUACCGUAAGAAUAAGCACCGGCUAACUACGUGCCAUCAGCCGCGGUAAUACGUAGGGUGCAAGCGUUAAUCGGAAUUACUGGGCGUAAAGCGUGCGCAGGCGGUUAUAUAAGACAGAUGUGAAAUCCCCGGGCUCAACCUGGGAACUGCAUUUGUGACUGUAUAGCUAGAGUACGGUAGAGGGGGAUGGAAUUCCGCGUGUAGCAGUGAAAUGCGUAGAUAUGUGGAGGAAUACCGAUGGCGAAGGCAGCCCCCUGGGAUAAUACUGACGCUCAGACACGAAAGCGUGGGGAGCAAACA
rnacentral:rRNA from 1 species